rnacentral:tRNA from 1 species
GAGGGUAUAGCUCAAGUGGUAGAGUACAAGCUUAGCAUACACAAGGUUCUGGGUUCAAUCCCCAGUACCUCCU